GCCACACUGCGGGUGCAGAGUCACCUGGAGAGGGCUCCAGGCCAGGGCACAGUCACUGAGCAGGGAAGAGAAAGGACGGCCGGGAGCCCAGCUGUCAGCAUAGCGGCCAUCUUAUGGCUGAAGGGUACUGAGGCUGAGCUGGGCAAGGAGAACUCGGAAAGCAGAUUGUGGAGCUGACUAUGGGGAGGCCUGGGUCCUGCCACAGCCAUUUUCCUGCCAAGGGAGGCUGUGACUGAGCGGGCUACCCAGCCUGGGAAACUGCUUUUUCCAUGGAACUGUGCAACCCACAGUUCAGAAGAUUCCACUUGUGAACCCUUGCCACUGGAGCCUGAGAUCUGAACCCUGGAGGUUGAAGGUAUGCCAGAGCGUGGUCAUUGAGGACAAGUUGAUGAGAGAUUCCCGAGUACAUCUAUGGUCAGCCUUGCGACAUUUGAUUCUACAAUGAACCCAUCGGAGAUGCAAAGGAAAGCACCUCCACGGAGACGGAAACACCGCAAUUGAACACCAUUGACUCAUAAGAUGAAGAAAAAGGUCAUGUCAGAAGAACAGAUGAAGUUGCCAUCCACCAAGAAGACAGAGCCGCCGACUUGGGCACAAUUAAAGAAGGUGACACCGUUAGCUAAAAAAAAGCCUGGAGAACACAAAGGUGACACAAACUCCAAAGGGUAUGCUGCUUGCAGCUUUGAUGAUUGUAUCAAUGGUGGUAAGUCUCCCCAUUCCUGCAGGAGCAGCUGUGGCUAAUUAUACCUACUGGGCCUGUGUGCUUUUCCCGCCCUUAAUUCAGGCAGUCACCUGGAUGGAUAAUCCUAUUGAAGUAUAUGUUAAUAAUGGUGUAUGGGUACAUGGCCCUACAGAUGAUCGUUGCCCUGCCAAACCCAAGGAAGAAGGAAUGAUGAUAAAUAUCUCCACUGGAUAUCGUUAUCCUCCUAUUUGCCUAGGGAGAGCACUAGGAUGUUUAAUGCCUGCAAUCCAAAAUUGGUUGGUACAAGUACCUACUGUCAGUACCAUCAGUAGAUUCACUUAUCACAUGGUAAGGGGAAUGUCACUCAGGCCAUGGGUAAAUUAUUUACAGGACUUUUCUUAUCAAAGGUCAUUAAAAUUUAGGCCUAAAGGGAAACAUUGCCCCAAGGAAAUUCCCAAAGGAUCAAAAGACAUAGAAGUUUUAGUUUGGGAAGAAUGUGUGGCCAAGAGUGCAGUGAUAUUACAAAAUGAUGAAUUCAGAACUAUUAUAGAUUGGGCAACUCAAGGUCAAUUCUAACACAAUUGCACAGGACAAACUCAAUCAUGUCCCAGUGCACAAGUGAGUCCAGCUGUUGAUAGUGACUUAACAGGAAGUUUAGACGAACAUAAGCAUAAAAAAUUACAGUCUUUCUACACUUGGGAAUGGGGAGAAAAAGGAAUCUCUACUUUGAUUGGACUUCAGCGAAGACUCCAAGAUGGCAAUCGCCACCUCGGAUACCCUAACUCAGCAUUUCCGGGUUCACCUUUCCUGUUCCCACCACCCCGACUAACGCACAUGCCCACUAGGGCGUGUCACACUCAGAAGUGUGAAACUCAACCGAUCCCGCCCCUACCCCGACCACUCCUCACCCAGCAUCCAUAAAAGCGCGCUGCACCUUUCGCACAGCGUGACUUCCCCUGGCGGACCAGUGAACCUCACCGGAGAGCUCAAUAAAGAAGAUUUUUGCCCUCUUUGUCUUGCCUCUUGGCCUUAUUGAUCCACGGUGCCUUUCCAUUGCCUUUCAUACUCCAAGACCAAA